UACGUAGGGUGCAAGCGUUGUCCGGAAUUAUUGGGCGUAAAGAGCUCGUAGGCGGUUUGUCGCGUCGGCUGUGAAAACCUGGGGCUCAACCCCGGGCCUGCAGCCGAUACGGGCAAACUAGAAUUCGGUAGGGGAGACUGGAAUUCCUGGUGUAGCGGUGAAAUGCGCAGAUAUCAGGAGGAACACCGGUGGCGAAGGCGGGUCUCUGGGCCGAUACUGACGCUGAGGAGCGAAAGCGUGGGGAGCGAAGCAGG
rnacentral:rRNA from 1 species